CGGGCAGGUGCCGCGGGCGGCGGGCAGGUGGCGGCGCGGCGCUGGGCCGGCGGCGGCGGCGGCUCCAGGGUUCAUGGCAGCGUUAUUCACAAUAGUCAAGAUGUGGAAACAACCUGCGUUCAUCAGUGGUUGUGGCAUGUGGGACGCUGCCUCAGCGUGGUCUGAUGAGCAGUGCCAUGUCUGCGCCCAGGAUUCGAACCAACGAAACACUGGGCCGCCUGCAGCGGAGCGCGCGAACUUAACCACUCGGCCACGGGGCCAGCCCCUAGGAGAGUACAUCUUGAAAGUUCUCAUCAUAAAGAUUUUUUUCUAACUCUAUAUGGUGAUGGAUGUUAACUAGACAGUGUGGUGAUCGUUUCACAAUGUAUACAAAUGCUGCAUCAUUAUGUUGUACCCCUGAAACUCAUAUAAUGUUAUAUGUUAAUUAUACUUGAA
rnacentral:lncRNA from 1 species